rnacentral:tRNA from 1 species
UGGGCGGUUAGUUCAGAGGUAGAACGCUUCGUUGACACCGAAGAGGUCAGUGGUUCGAUUCCACUAUCGCCCACCAU